rnacentral:lncRNA from 1 species
GGAUCAUCAAGUCACUUCACCUUGCAUUGAUUUAAGAUAAGGUGAAUGGUUUGAAUAUGAUAUAUUCUUAGAUAAAAUUGGUCUAAAUUCGUAAUAGUAUUUGAUAAUGGAGAAAACCAACGUGAUCCCAAAGGUUCGCUCCUGCAUCAAUUUAGUCAUAUGGGCUAAUAUAGUCGUCGGACUUAUUAAAAUCGCCACAUGGACAUACCAUAUCACCCUCCCAUGCAAAAUCUGCAAUGAGUUGUUUUACCCUUACAUAUUGUCAGAGGAACAGGAACGGGAGCCCCCCGGUCCUCCGGGGUCUUUAGGGCACCCGAGGUUGUAUGUUACAACAAGAGACACACAAGAUUUACAUCUUCAAGGAACGAACAAUAUCUACAUCUUCAAGAGAUACACAUGAUCUACAUCUCCAAGGUGCCGAGGAGAGUGUAGAGACCUACAGGAUCUAAAUCUCCAGGGUGCCAAGGAGAGGAUACAGAUCUACAAGAUCUAUAUCUUCAAGGUGCUAAGGGGGUAGAUAGUUGCUCGAUGCAUAUUCCACGGAGGUGAUCAUUGAGAACUUGUUCGUCAACGACAUAUUCGAGAAGCUCACCCAAAGUAACAAGAAAACAUGUGAAUUAGCAAGGGGAGAGGUCCUUGUUGCCCUGGGACGAUCUGGUGCCCCGAGCACGCUACCUGCCCCAGAUGUGUGGCUGCUCUGAGGAGCAGAGGCCACCCUAGAGUGCAGAACAAGUGGCUAGGGGUCCAGGCAGGGGCCCGAGCAUAUCCACCUUGCCCCGGGCUAGCCUCGAAUCUCUCUAAUCCUCUGAGUGGGCCUCUCGACACCACUUACCGCCCAAGUCUAAAACCACAUUUUAACACAUUUUAGUUCACAAAUAUAAGAGCUAUUCACCUCUGUCCAGCAGUGAAAAUAUUACCCAAAUUCUCAUUUACAAAGUGAUCAUGAUGUCAUUUAGCAUUUUCUAGGCAUGACUAAGCAUAGAGCUUUUAUAUAAGCAUGUAUAAACCUAUUUGAGUACUUAGAAAGUACUCUAACCAUUUCUAAGGUUACAAUCAGUGAGAGUAAUAAUUAUUCAAAGAGAAUAUGCAGCAAAUAGGACAUAACUACCAUAACCAUGUUUUAAAGAUACCGAUAUAGUCUAAAUUCAUAUGCAACUUUGCAAACAAAUAUUUUCAUUCCUCAAAUCAUGGGAUUCAAUGUGAUCAAAGGAUGGGAGGAGAAUUUGCCUUGCUCUUGGAAUUGUUAGCACCUAAGUCACUUCUUCACCGUUAUACAAUAAUCUAUAUAAAGUACACGUUAUACAAUUAAACACCGAAAUAGGAGAAAAUCCAAAAUGCUCUAAAAUGCAUGAUUUGUUCACAGUGGAUAGGUUCUGAUCUAAAAUGAAUUUACAUGAAAGAAUUUCUAUUUUAUCUCUUUUUAUUUGGAAGUUAUUAAUUUUAGAAGUUACGUCGGUAUAAUGUAGUAUAGGUUUAGGCAGUGCUACAAAAUAUUUUUGCAAAGUGGUUUUAUUAGAUUUGAAUUCUCAGGGGUGUAGAUAUGUGUUUUUUUAAUACUAACACAUUUUGUUUCACAAUUUUUAGAGUUAUUAUGAAUUCUUUAUGUGGUUCACAAGUUAUAACGUGUUCUAGGCAUAUAACUUUUAGGUGUACAUGACUUUGGAGAUUUAGGUUCAGAACAUGUUCUACUUUGUUUGAGAUGUAUAAAAUAAAUAAUUUGGUUAACCAAUCUAAUCUUAGUUCAUAACUUUAGGGCUUGUAUUAAUUUGCUAUACAUUCUAUAAAGUAGGGAGAUGUUCUUUGUUAGUUUUCUUAACAUAACAACUUAGAGGUUAUUACAUGAGCUAAGUUCUUCUAAGUUUUGGUGGAUGGGGAUGGAACUAUGGCUUCACUGGUCCUAACAAGUUUUAUUUUGGUUUAUUCAUAGCUAGAGUGCAUUUUAAAUACCUCUACACGUAUUUUUUGCUUAACCAUCACUAGGUGAUUAACUCCUAGGUUAUCUAUUUAAAGAUUAGAGCUAUAACCUGUACAAAAUUUGUCAUAUUUUAUUUUACUAUAUUGAAGCUCACUAUUUUCUGGUUCUAUAGAAACUUAGUUCAUUUCAUUUGGACUAAAAAUGAAUUUUCUACAAAUUUUACAAGUUAAAGGCUGCUCUAUGUUGGUUAUUCCUUACAUAAAUCUUUAGAGGCUUUGAUUAUACAGUAAGUACAUACUUUUAUUUUACAAAUUGGAAAUACAUAUUUCGGUGAUUCUACAGAACUUGUGUUUACUCAAAAAGGAGUUAAAAUGAAUUUUAGAUAAAUCUUUAAAGUUUAGCUUCCCUAAAUCUCAUCAUUUUAAAUGCAAUUGUUUUAAAGGCAUUUGAUGCAAAGCAAGUAAUUACUUUUAUUUCACCUAACCAGAGAGUGCAUGAUGAUGAAUUUGCAGAAUUUGAGUUUGUUUCAAAAUGAGUUGAGAUAAAUUUUAUAUGUAUUUUAUAAAUUUGUGUAUGUUUUAUGUAUGAUUUAUAUUAGACAAAUUUUUGAGGCAAAGUUUGUACAGUGAGUGUCAAGUUUUAUGUUUCUAUAGUAAAUUUCAUAACUUUGUGAAUCUACAGAAACUAGAAUCACCUCAAAAUGAGCUAUAUUUGAUUUUAUAUGAAUUUUCCAAGUUCGUGCAUUUUUCUGUUAAACAUAUAUUUGGUUGGGUAUUUUCAUUUAUUAUUUUCCAGAUUUUAAAGGAUGGGGUCCAUUGGUCAGUGAGAGAUCAAUAUGCAAAAAGCACCUUGAGGUUCCUAGGAAUCAACCCACAGUCCAAAGUUUGUGAUGAACCAAAUUCAUUAAGAGUCCUUAGAUUCUUUAAAUUCAUUACUAACUAGAAAAGCAGCGCGCCAACUGGCGCGCUCGCUCUGUAGCCCCUGUAUAAAGUUUGAUGAAUUAGUAUGAAAUUUGUGCUAUUAAUUAGUACGAAUUUCAUGAAAUUUUAUGGAAAUUAUUUGAAUUUCUAUGAAUUGCACAGAAUUGCUCCAAUUCAACAUAGCAGAUCGCAUUGUUGAGAAGGAUCCUUAAUUUUCUCUCUUCUUUCAAUUCAUGCUAUUCAGGGUUUUUUUGUGUGUCUAAAAUUGUAAUUAAUUGUCAACUAACGAUAAAACAUGUGUUUAUAAUUUUGAAAAUUUUAAGUGUUCCAAAUUUAUGUUUUGUGAGGAGCUAUUGCAAAUGCACUUUAGAACUGCUAGUAUAUAUGCAACAUAUCCUCACCGAUAUUACUAUUACAAAUGUUAGAGCCAUGUAAAAAUUGAUAGGAAGAUCCGCUCAUCAAUUUGUACAAAAAAAUAAUCAGUAUAUUAUUAUGAAGAUUGGUAUAAGACUCUCAACAUUAUAACGCAAUAUCUUGAACUCUACCAAAUAUUCUAAUAGCACUGAGCAUUUCAUCCUUGUCUAGAAAGGCUAGGAGAUAAAGAUUUAUACAAGUUUUGUGUGCGCAAAGGCUCGAGAGUAAAGAACCUACAGGUUAAUGAUGAUGGUCGUAAUGAUACAUAAUUGCAAAUGCAACCUAAACUUCAGGAGCCUACAAUCUACAUGGAUGAGUUGACAUGUUUUUAUGCCUACAUGGCUGCCUGAAAUUCAGCAGCCUCCUUAUACUAUUCCAGGGGCGGAGGGCUCGGUAGGGCGAGGUGUGGCGCUCGCCAUACCUCGCGCCGCCCGCUGAACCCCUCGUACUCCUCCGUGCAGAGCAGCAGCCGAGUCAGAGAGAGUGGCGACGCCGCAUCGUGAGAAGACGAGCGACAGCUGAGACGCGGCGUGGGCGUGUCCGCGAGGCUCGUCUUGUUUUGUGUCUUGAAUCUAGACCCAAAUUUCCCCAUCUGACCAUCUCCUCCACUCUCCCCCAAUCCGCCAAUCCCCAUCCCGAUCUCAUCGGCGGACGACGGCUGCCGCGAUGUGCGUCGUGCGCGGGAGGACUGGGUGAGGUGAGGAGGACGCAGAGCUGCGGCUGCGGCAUCCGCUCCGGCCAGGCGGCGGCGCGACCAGCCUCCAGGGCCCAGGGGGGCAUGCGAACACGCAGUCGCACACGCGCAGGCGCGCAGCGCAGGAAGAGCAGAGGUAGAGGCAGGGUGGGACCACUGGCGGAGGACGGAAAAAAAUUAGGUGUGGCACAAGGAGUGGACACCCAAGACUAAGGAAAAAGCAAUCUCAAUUGCAACAGGAUAUUUUGUCAAUAAGCCUAUAUUACGCAUGGCAACAACCAUUGAUCGCAAUCCAUUAUUCAUUUGCAAACAAGCAUAAAUAAAUAAAUAAAUAAAAGUAUGCAUGGAAGGAUAUGCACCUCUUUGAUGUCAAGACCUUCCCUUCCCUUUCUAUCCAUUUUCGCAAAACUUGGUUGCCCCUGCUAAUUGGCUGCUUGCUGAGCGGCGGAUGCAGUCACGCACGGCGCGCCCACGCCGCCACUGGCUGCAUGCUUGUGCCUUGUUGAGUUGAGUUGUUGCUCUGCUGCUAGCCCCUGCUGAAGUGCCGAGUGCCCAAUGCCGGAGUGCCUGCGGCCGGCGGCCUGCCCAACCUGCGCCGUCGCAGCCUCCUCCUCCCCGUGCCUCCUCCCCGCGACCCCGCACCAGCGCCGCCCAACUCCACUCGACCGGCGGCCGGAUUAGGGAUUGGAGUUGGAGAGAAGAGGGGAAUUUUGGGUUUAGCCGUCUAGGGUUUGAUGGUCAAAAGCCCCUUUUGCACAAAACAACUAAACAAGCCCAAUGGGCUAAAUAUUUUGGGUGCUCGCCUGCUUCAUCCUCUCGCCUCUCGCUCUUUCUUUGCGCACGGCGUCGUUCCCUCUCGCUCUUUCUCGCGCACGACGUCGCUCCCUCACCAGCGGCUGGAUCCCGGGGGAGGGGACGAAUUGAGAGGUGGGGGGUUAGGCGGAGCAAGGUAUGGCGAGGGCCACACCUUGCCCUACCGAGAGCUCCGCCCCUGGGUGGGACGAAUGGCACAACAGUAGUGCAGGCGUGCAGCACCAAGCAUCGACAGCAAGCAAGCCAACUGAUUCUACAUUUGUGAAGUUUAAUCAAUCUUUGGUACUGGACUACUGGAGUAUUUGUUUUAUAGAUUCCACAUGUAUUAUCUAUCUAUACUCAGUACUGUAGUUCCUAUAUGUGAAUAUGUGAUGUAUUGUUGAAAGCAUAAAUAUUAAGAAGUUGAGGUAUUUUUUGACUACACUGUUUGCAAAUGGAUGAUGAAUCAUGAACUUGCGAUUAGUUCUUGUUUGCUAGCUUAAUGUAGACUUGUUGAGAUAAUAUUGCGUCGUAUAAUGUUCUGUGCUAACUUUCGUGGUGAUUCGUUGGCCACACCUAAAUUUUUUUCCGUCCUCCGCCACUGUACUAUUCCACAUGUCAACAACUGGAAAUCA